rnacentral:rRNA from 1 species
UACAGAGGUCUCAAGCGUUGUUCGGAUUCAUUGGGCGUAAAGGGCGCGUAGGUGGCCAACUAAGUCAGACGUGAAAUCCCUCGGCUUAACCGGGGAACUGCGUCUGAUACUGGAUGGCUUGAGUUCGGGAGAGGGAUGCGGAAUUCCAGGUGUAGCGGUGAAAUGCGUAGAUAUCAGGAAGAACACCCGUGGCGAAGGCGGCUCUCUGGGACGGUACUGACGCUGAGACGCGAAAGCGUGGGGAGCGAACAGG